rnacentral:SRP_RNA from 1 species
GCCGAGCUCGGUAGCGAGAGCCUGUAACCCAAGCGGGGGCAUUAAGGUGGCUGUGGAUGUUUUGGUGUGGAUACUGAUCCUGGGCCCCAUGUUGUGUGUAAUCUUCCAAGUUGCGUAGUGGGCCGGAUGGGCUUUGGCGAAGGCCAAAUUCUCCGGCCCUAAAGUGGCAGGCAACAGCGUGAGGCUGGCUUCACAGAGCAGCGAUCACUGCCCGCUUCCAUCGGGUGGAAGGAUAACAGGCUGCUGCACCUUGGGCCCGCUUCUGGCCCAGAGUCCCUCUACAACAGACCACCAUCUUU